rnacentral:rRNA from 1 species
UACAGAGGUGGCAAGCGUUGUUCGGAAUUACUGGGCGUAAAGGGCGCGUAGGCGGCCUUCUAAGUCAGACGUGAAAUCCCCCGGCUUAACCUGGGAACUGCGUCUGAUACUGGAGGGCUUGAGUGCGGGAGAGGGAUGUGGAAUUCCGGGUGUAGCGGUGAAAUGCGCAGAUAUCCGGAGGAACACCGGUGGCGAAGGCGGCUUCCUGGACCGACACUGACGCUGAGGCGCGAAAGCUAGGGGAGCAAAUGGG